rnacentral:misc_RNA from 1 species
ACUUUGUGCAUUGCAAUCAUAUCACUACAAAUACACAGGCAAAUGAAAAUGAAAGGUAUAGAAGACGAAAAAGAAAAGAAAUACAUGUCAAACUCCGAAACAGAAUGCCUUCGCGCCGCCAGAGUAAACUCAGGUUGUUCAAGUGCCACACCGAGCUGUCAAGAGAGGAAUUUGGCAGUUCAGGCCAUCCACGAUUUCCGGACUCACAGACUUGCAUACUGAGAAUCACCGAUGCACUUUGUGACGGCCUCACCGGCCUUCUGCGUUCCAACUCGCUCCUCUCUCUUCUUCUUUUCCCUUUCCACGUACUCCUUGAGAAGUUCUUUGGCUUGGACCAGCUUCGAGAGUUGGUUACGGUACACAUCGAGGUCCCUAUCCACACUUAGUUUGUUUAUGUUCAACUCAGCACAAAGCUUUUCUAAAAUUGCUGGUUCCAUUGCAUUUGCCAGCUCAAGCAGACGAAACAAUCCAAUAGCAAAGAACCGACUGUAGCUGAAAUUUUUCUUUUCCUUGGCACGCUCAGAAAUAUUUUUCAAUAUGUCCUCAACCUCCCCCUCUCUUGAUGAGAACCCUAGUAAUGAGCUAGCGUUUUGAGCCCGGGCCCAUUCUUCCAGCUUUUGUGCAUCGCUUCUGUACUGUUCAGGGUCCUCAUUUAAUGCCUGGAUAUAAGCUUUGAAAAUGGCAUCACGGUCAUCGUUGCUUGGAUAGCCUUCCAUCAGCUGUUCAUAGACAGUCACAAAGCCUAGAGCAAACACUGCAUCAUACUGAUAAGUUUUCUUGUACCUCAUCAGAUGUUGUUGCACAAGGAGCUCUAGCAAUACAGUGUUGUAUAUGCUCGGAAUAAGACGCUUGUAUGACUUGACAAACUUCAACUUGGUUUCAGACACAGUGGGGGGCAAAGCGACUGAAGCAGCGGCGCAUCGGACGGCGGAUCGGGAGCUCGAAUUGGGGGCUCUGAAUCGGAUCCCGCCGAACACCGGUGAGCUUAAGGAUCGCGCGGCGGUGGGCAAGGGCUGGCCUAAGGAGGCGAAGGAGACGGAUGCGAUGGCCGCCAUUAGAGUUGAGAUGAGAGCUCCACUAGGGAUUGGAGCGAAGACGGGCCGG